AGAAGUGCCUAAACAUGUCCAAUU
rnacentral:siRNA from 1 species